GAAUGUUGCAAGAUUCCCGAUAGGAUUUACAUCUAUUUUUUUUGUAAAGAUGCCUUGUAACCGAAUAAAUAUCAGGGGGAAUAACCGAAUG
rnacentral:sRNA from 1 species